UAUUGAUUUAACGUUUCCUCAAAAAACAGAGUGUUGUAAUUCAGGGUUACUAUAGCAACAUAGUAUUGUGAUGCAGCGUCACUAUAGCAACAGAGUGUUGUGAUGCAGCGUCACUAUAGCAACAGAGUGUUAUGAUGCAGUUUUACUAUAGCAACAGAGUGUUGUGAUGCAGGGUCACUAUAGCAACAUAGUGUUGUGAUGCAGGGUCACUAUAGCAACAUAGUGUUGUGAUGCAGGGUCACUAUAGCAACAUAGUGUUGUGAUGCAGGGUCACUAUAGCAACAGAGUGUUGUGAUGCAGGGUCACUAUAGCAACAUAGUGUUGUGAUGCAGGUUCACUAUAGCAACAGAGUGUUGUGAUGCAGGGUCACUAUAGCAACAGAGUGUUGUGAUGCAGGGUCACUAUAGCAACAUAGUGUUGUGAUGCAGGGUCACUAUAGCAACAUAGUGUUGUGAUGCAGGGUCACUAUAGCAACAUAGUGUUGUGAUGCAGGGUCACUAUAGCAACAUAGUGUUGUGAUGCAGGGUCACUAUAGCAACAGAGUGUUGUGAUGCAGGGUCACUAUAGCAACAGUGUUGUGAUGCAGGGUCACUAUAGCAACAGUGUUGUGAUGCAGGGUUACUAUAGCAACAGUGUUGUGAUGCAGGGUCACUAUAGCAACAUAGUGUUGUGAUGCAGGGUCACUAUAGCAACAUAGUUCUCUCUGUCCUCUCACUCUCUGCUCUCUCACUCUCUAUUUGCUUUCUCAGCCUGCUCUCUGCUCACUCUCUCCCUCUGCUCUCUGUGUUGUCUGCUCUCUCUGUUCUCUCUGCCCUCUGCUCUCGCUCUGCUCUCUCGUCUCUGUUUUCUGCUCUCUCUCUGCCUCUGCUCUCUCUGUUCUCUGCUCUCUCUCUCCCUCUGCUCUGUCUGCUCUCUCUCCCUCUGCUCUCUCUGUUCUCUGCUCUCUCACUCUCUAUGCUCUCUCCUCUCUCUGUUCUCUCUGCCCUCUGCUCUCCCUCUGCUCUCUGUGUUCUCUGCUCUCUCUCUCCCUCUGCUCUGUCUGCUCUCUCUCUCUUCUCUCUGUUCUCUGCUCUCUCUCUCUUCUCUCUGUUCUCUACUCUCUCUGCUUUCUCUGCUCUCUGUCUCUUCUCUCUGCUCUCUCUCUCCUCUCCAUGUUCUCUCUGCUCUCUCUCUCUGCCCUUUGUUAUCUCUGCUCUCUUUGAUCUCUCCCUCACUCCCAUUACAUUACAUUACAUUUAAGUCAUUUAGCAGACGCUCUUAUCCAGAGCGACUUACAAAUUGGUGCAUUCACCUUAUGACAUCCAGUAGAACAGUCACUUUACAAUAGUGCAUCUAAAUCUUAAAGGGGGGUGAGAAGGAUUACUUAUCCUAUCCUAGGUAUUCCUUAAAGAGGUGGGGUUUCAGGUGUCUCCGGAAGGUGGUGAUUGACUCCGCUGUCCUGGCGUCGUGAGGGAGUUUGUUCCACCAUUGGGGGGCCAGAGCAGCGAACAGUUUUGACUGGGCUGAGCGGGAACUGUACUUCCUCAGUGGUAGGGAGGCGAGCAGGCCAGAGGUGGAUGAACGCAGUGCCCUUGUUUGGGUGUAGGGCCUGAUCAGAGCCUGGAGGUACUGAGGUGCCGUUCCCCUCACAGCUCCGUAGGCAAUCACCAUGGUCUUGUAGCGGAUGCGAGCUUCAACUGGAAGCCAGUGGAGAGAGCGGAGGAGCGGGGUGACGUGAGAGAACUUGGGAAGGUUGAACACCAGACGGGCUGCGGCGUUCUGGAUGAGUUGUAGGGGUUUAGUGGAACAGGCAGGGAGCCCAGCCAACAGC